GUUAUAUGGUCAAGUGAAGAAGCGCAUACGGUGGAUGCCUUGGCAGUCAGAGGCGAUGAAAGACGUGGUAGCCUGCGAAAAGCUUCGGGGAGUCGGCAAACAGACUGUGAUCCGGAGAUGUCUGAAUGGGGGAACCCAGCCAUCAUAAGAUGGUUAUCUUGUACUGAAUACAUAGGUGCAAGAGGCGAACCAGGGGAACUGAAACAUCUAAGUACCCUGAGGAAAAGAAAUCAACCGAGAUUCCCUUAGUAGUGGCGAGCGAACGGGGACCAGCCCUUAAGUUGUAUUGAGAUUAGCGGAACACUCUGGAAAGGGUGGCCAUAGUGGGUGAUAGCCCUGUACGCGAAAAUCCCUUUGCAAUGAAAUCGAGUAGGACGGGGCACGAGAAACCUUGUCUGAAUAUGGGGGGACCAUCCUCCAAGGCUAAAUACUACUGACUGACCGAUAGUGAACCAGUACCGUGAGGGAAAGGCGAAAAGAACCGCGGAGAGCGGAGUGAAAUAGAUCCUGAAACCGUAUGCGUACAAGCAGUGGGAGCCCACUUUGUUGGGUGACUGCGUACCUUUUGUAUAAUGGGUCAGCGACUUAUUUUCAGUGGCGAGCUUAACCGAAUAGGGGAGGCGUAGCGAAAGCGAGUCUUAAUAGGGCGUCUAGUCGCUGGGAAUAGACCCGAAACCGGGCGAUCUAUCCAUGGGCAGGUUGAAGGUUGGGUAACACUAACUGGAGGACCGAACCGACUACCGUUGAAAAGUUAGCGGAUGACCUGUGGAUCGGAGUGAAAGGCUAAUCAAGCUCGGAGAUAGCUGGUUCUCCUCGAAAGCUAUUUAGGUAGCGCCUCAUGUAUCACUGUAGGGGGUAGAGCACUGUUUCGGCUAGGGGGUCAUCCCGACUUACCAAACCGAUGCAAACUCCGAAUACCUACAAGUGCCGAGCAUGGGAGACACACGGCGGGUGCUAACGUCCGUCGUGAAAAGGGAAACAACCCAGACCGUCAGCUAAGGUCCCAAAGUCAUGGUUAAGUGGGAAACGAUGUGGGAAGACUUAGACAGCUAGGAGGUUGGCUUAGAAGCAGCCACCCUUUAAAGAAAGCGUAAUAGCUCACUAGUCGAGUCGGCCUGCGCGGAAGAUGUAACGGGGCUCAAACCAUGCACCGAAGCUACGGGUAUCAUCUUAUGAUGAUGCGGUAGAGGAGCGUUCUGUAAGCCUGUGAAGGUGAGUUGAGAAGCUUGCUGGAGGUAUCAGAAGUGCGAAUGCUGACAUGAGUAACGACAAUGGGUGUGAAAAACACCCACGCCGAAAGACCAAGGUUUCCUGCGCAACGUUAAUCGACGCAGGGUUAGUCGGUCCCUAAGGCGAGGCUGAAAAGCGUAGUCGAUGGAAAACAGGUUAAUAUUCCUGUACUUCUGGUUAUUGCGAUGGAGGGACGGAGAAGGCUAGGCCAGCCUGGCGUUGGUUGUCCAGGUUUAAGGUGGUAGGCUGAGAUCUUAGGUAAAUCCGGGAUCUUAAGGCCGAGAGCUGAUGACGAGUGUUCUUUUAGAACACGAAGUGGUUGAUGCCAUGCUUCCAAGAAAAGCUUCUAAGCUUCAGGUAACCAGGAACCGUACCCCAAACCGACACAGGUGGUUGGGUAGAGAAUACCAAGGCGCUUGAGAGAACUCGGGUGAAGGAACUAGGCAAAAUGGCACCGUAACUUCGGGAGAAGGUGCGCCGGUGGAGGUGAAGCAUUUACUGCGUAAGCCCCUGCCGGUCGAAGAUACCAGGCCGCUGCGACUGUUUAUUAAAAACACAGCACUCUGCAAACACGAAAGUGGACGUAUAGGGUGUGACGCCUGCCCGGUGCCGGAAGGUUAAUUGAUGGGGUUAGCGCAAGCGAAGCUCUUGAUCGAAGCCCCGGUAAACGGCGGCCGUAACUAUAACGGUCCUAAGGUAGCGAAAUUCCUUGUCGGGUAAGUUCCGACCUGCACGAAUGGCGUAACGAUGGCGGCGCUGUCUCCACCCGAGACUCAGUGAAAUUGAAAUCGCUGUGAAGAUGCAGUGUAUCCGCGGCUAGACGGAAAGACCCCGUGAACCUUUACUAUAGCUUUGCACUGGACUUUGAAUUUGCUUGUGUAGGAUAGGUGGGAGGCUUUGAAGCGUGGACGCCAGUCUGCGUGGAGCCAACCUUGAAAUACCACCCUGGCAACUUUGAGGUUCUAACUCAGGUCCGUUAUCCGGAUCGAGGACAGUGUAUGGUGGGUAGUUUGACUGGGGCGGUCUCCUCCUAAAGAGUAACGGAGGAGUACGAAGGUGCGCUCAGACCGGUCGGAAAUCGGUCGUAGAGUAUAAAGGCAAAAGCGCGCUUGACUGCGAGACAGACACGUCGAGCAGGUACGAAAGUAGGUCUUAGUGAUCCGGUGGUUCUGUAUGGAAGGGCCAUCGCUCAACGGAUAAAAGGUACUCCGGGGAUAACAGGCUGAUACCGCCCAAGAGUUCAUAUCGACGGCGGUGUUUGGCACCUCGAUGUCGGCUCAUCACAUCCUGGGGCUGAAGCCGGUCCCAAGGGUAUGGCUGUUCGCCAUUUAAAGUGGUACGCGAGCUGGGUUUAGAACGUCGUGAGACAGUUCGGUCCCUAUCUGCCGUGGACGUUUGAGAUUUGAGAGGGGCUGCUCCUAGUACGAGAGGACCGGAGUGGACGAACCUCUGGUGUUCCGGUUGUCACGCCAGUGGCAUUGCCGGGUAGCUAUGUUCGGAAAAGAUAACCGCUGAAAGCAUCUAAGCGGGAAACUUGCCUCAAGAUGAGAUCUCACUGGAACCUUGAGUUCCCUAAAGGGCCGUCGAAGACUACGACGUUGAUAGGUUGGGUGUGUAAGCGCUGUGAGGCGUUGAGCUAACCAAUACUAAUUGCCCGUGAGGCUUGACCAUAUAACACCCAAGCAAUU
rnacentral:rRNA from 1 species